UCUGAUCUUAGUUUAAGUUAGAAUGGUAGUUUUGGGGACUGUUAGUCCUGUUUGGGAGAUCAGAU
rnacentral:tRNA from 1 species